GGGGUGGCAGAGUGGAAAUGCGCUGGACACCCACAGAACAUGAGGGCCGGAAUCGAGAUCCAGUGGCCCCUUGGGGCCUCAAGGGUUCAAAUCCCUUCCCC
rnacentral:tRNA from 1 species